UACGUAGGGUGCAAGCGUUGCCCGGAUUUAUUGGGCGUAAAGGGCGCGUAGGCGGCUCGGCACGUCCGUUGUGAAAUCGCCCGGCUCAACUGGGCGGGGUCAGCGGAUACGGCCGAGCUUGAGCAAGCUAGGGGGCAAUGGAAUUCCUGGUGUAGCGGUGAAAUGCGCAGAUAUCAGGAGGAACACCGGUGGCGAAGGCGGGUCUCUGGGCCGUAACUGACGCUGAGGAGCGAAAGCGUGGGGAGCGAACAGG
rnacentral:rRNA from 1 species